CCUACGGGAGGCAGCAGUGGGGAAUAUUGCACAAUGGGGGAAACCCUGAUGCAGCGACGCCGCGUGAGCGAUGAAGUAUUUCGGUAUGUAAAGCUCUAUCAGCAGGGAAGAAGAUGACGGUACCUGACUAAGAAGCCCCGGCUAACUAAGUGCCAGCAGCCGCGGUAACACGCGGGGGGCAAACGUUAUCCGGAUUUACUGGGGGUAAAGGGAGCGUAGACGGCAAUGCAAGCCAGAUGUGAAAGCCCGGGGGUCAAACCCGGUACUGCAGUUGAAACUGUGUGGGUUGAGUGUCGGAGAGGCAGGCGGAAUUCCUGGUGUAGCGGUGAAAUGCGUAGAUAUUAGGAAGAACACCAGUGGCGAAGGCGGCCUGCUGGACGGUAACUGACGCUGAGGCUCGAAAGCGUGGGUAGCGAACAGGAUUAGAUACCCGGGUAGUC
rnacentral:rRNA from 1 species